rnacentral:snRNA from 1 species
UCGCUGUUUCAAUUUUACUGCUUUUUUUAAUAUUAAAUACUAGCUUGAUGAUUGAGUUAUCAUUCAAUUGUUGAUGCAUUGAAACACAUACUGAAUUUAGGUUUAUCCAAUCAUUGACUGAUGACUAAUAGUUAUUGAGAAUAUACUAUUGGACAGAUACCAAUGAUACAACGCUUG